rnacentral:tRNA from 3 species
GGUAGCGUGUCCGAGCGGCCUAAGGAGCGCGCCUCGAAAGCGCGUGUGGUGAGAGCCACCGUGGGUUCGAAUCCCACCGCUACCG